AGAGAACAGUGGACUCACAGUUUAACAUGAUGGACUAUAGGACAGGGCUGCUGCUUUUAACUAUCUGCUGGGCAGGUGUUGAUGGUCAGACUCUGACAGAAUCUGAACCAGUGAUUAAAAGGCCUGGAGAAUCUCACAGAUUGACCUGUACAGCCUCUGGAUUCACACUCGGCAGCUAUGCUAUGAGCUGGAUCAGACAGGCUCCUGGAAAACGACUGGAGUGGAUUGCUUAUAUAGGCACAUCCAGUACUCCUAUCCACUACUCCCAGUCAGUCCAGGGCAGAUUCACCAUCUCCAGAGAUGACUCCAGCAGUAAACUGUAUCUGCAGAUGAACAGUCUGAAGACUGAGGACACAGCAGUGUAUUACUGUGCCAGAAGAAACACAGUGAGAGACAAUAAUAGGAAAGUCAUACAAAAACUACUUCCUCUAUUUACCACCAAUGGGAACAUUAAGUUGUCUCAGUAUCACCUACAUCCUGCAUCACUUAUUUUUAUUCCACUUUUCCAUUAUUCAGAUAUAUAUUUUUAA